rnacentral:lncRNA from 1 species
AAAUAGGACUCGGGAAUCACAAAUGAGACAUUAAUUGGAGAAGCAGGCCCUAUGUGCUGUACAAUUAGUUACAAAAAUGUUAUUACUUUAUGAAAUUAUUGUUUUGCAAAUUCACAUUUUGUACUUUCAACCUUUUCUUUAAAUUAAUAUCUUUUGUUAUACUAUUUUCCUAAUGUUUUUGAACUUCUUUAAUCACUUGAUACACCUUUCGAUAGAGAACAAGACAGUACAAAUACAAAAUUGUACUUGUAGUAUUUCAAGUGCAAUUAAGGUGGCUCGUGUGUACAAAAAUUUCAGCAAAAAAUUGAACCUUUAUUUUUUCAUUACAAAUUUUAUUUAUUACACUAUUAGUUAUUACUUUAUGAUAUGGUAAAAAAAUCGACCCAAAAAUUCGAUUCGGUUUGGCCCCAGAUGACUUUUACAAUGUUUAUAUCAUUGAAAAAGCUCCAAAUUUUCUGCCUUUGGUGCACAAAUGCCAUUUUUUGUCAUUAAAUUUGAAAUAUCUUUUUUAACUCAUUGGUGACCUAUAUUUUUUAUUAUUGUUUUCAUAUAAGCUGUACAUAAACUAAAUAAUGGUAAAAUUUAAGCGGUUUCUGUAAUUAGGUUAUUGUUUCAUUGCGUUAUUACCUCUAUUUCUCCAAUUAGUUCAACAGAAAAAAGGAAAUUAACAAAAAUGUAUGCUUCUUCCGGAGGCAGAUUGUGAGCUUAAAUGAACGGUGACCCCAUUUUUUUAUUUCAAUUUUCUUUUAAGUAUAUAUUAAAGUUAAUUUAUAAAAAAAUAUAGCGAAAUCCUAUAUUAGAAAAAAAAGUUUGAUUUAUACCCAGGAGCCCCCUUAACAUGAAGAUAGAUAGAUACAUACUUUAUUCUCUAAAAACUAAAUCAUGAUCAAGUACGUGAACAUACAAAAAAUGUAAUAAAUAGGUCUUAAACAAACAUUAUGUUCACUCCAUAUCUACCAAGUUUUAGAUUAUUUUCUUGACAUUAAAGAAAUUUCUUGGUAUUCCUAAACGAAAAUUUUAUACACACUGAGGAUCAAGUAUACGUAUUGACAAAAUUAUAUUUCAUUCACCUGUGUAGGACAUGACGCAGCUUUUUUUAAAAGUGAUAAUUUUCUAUCAAUUGUUUAAUAUUUCACAGUGGUAUCUUACUUUAACUUUGUUUAAACCUGUUAAUUAAUAUUUGACCUUAAUUAUUAAUCCCCUAUACAUUUUAUUAACUAUGAAUUUGCAUUUAGGUAUCGAAGAUCAAAUUUAUUCGUUCAUUGUGUGUUAAUUUGCAUUUUUUGAUUGAGGUAAGCCUUCCGAUUGAUAUUUUAUAGUGUGUUUUUUUAUGUUGUGAUUUUAUACUAUUGUUUCAGAAAAGGGAGAGAGU